UACCAGCACCCCCGAGUGGUCGGGACGUUUUAUUGGGCCUAAAGCAUCCGUAGCCGGUUCUACAAGUCUUCCGUUAAAAUCCACCUGCUUAACAGAUGGGCUGCGGAAGAUACUAUAGAGCUAGGAGGCGGGAGAGGCAAGCGGUACUCGAUGGGUAGGGGUAAAAUCCGUUGAUCCAUUGAAGACCACCAGUGGCGAAGGCGGCUUGCCAGAACGCGCUCGACGGUGAGGGAUGAAAGCUGGGGGGAGCAAACCGG
rnacentral:rRNA from 1 species